GGACCAGUGGUGUAGUGGGCAACGCAUUACGUUUGGGCGUGGAGGGAUGUGAGUUCGAUUCCCUCCCGGUCCU
rnacentral:tRNA from 1 species